AGGAUAAACGCUGGCGGCGUGCUUAAUACAUGCAAGUCGAGCGGCAGCAUGCACUUCGGUGUGAUGGCGAGCGGCGGACGGCUGAGUAACGCGUAGGAAUAUACCCCAAAGUGAGGGAUAACUGCCCGAAAGGGUAGCUAAUACCGCAUGUGGUCUUCGGAUUAAAGCUUUAUGCGCUUUGGGAAUGGCCUGCGUACGAUUAGCUUGUUGGUGAGGUAAUAGCUCACCAAGGCGAUGAUCGUUAGCUGGUCUGAGAGGAUGAUCAGCCAGACUGGGACUGAGACACGGCCCAGACUCCUACGGGAGGCAGCAGUAGGGAAUUUUCCACAAUGGACGAAAGUCUGAUGGAGCAACGCCGCGUGCAGGAUGAAGGCCCUUGGGUCGUAAACUGCUUUUCUCUGUGAGGAAUAUGACAGUAGCAGAGGAAUAAGGAUCGGCUAACUCCGUGCCAGCAGCCGCGGUAAUCGUGA
rnacentral:rRNA from 1 species